AGAGUUUGAUCAUGGCUCAGAUUGAACGCUGGCGGCAGGCCUAACACAUGCAAGUCGAGCGGUAGCACAGAGAGCUUGCUCUCGGGUGACGAGCGGCGGACGGGUGAGUAAUGUCUGGGAAACUGCCUGAUGGAGGGGGAUAACUACUGGAAACGGUAGCUAAUACCGCAUAACGUCGCAAGACCAAAGUGGGGGACCUUCGGGCCUCAUGCCAUCAGAUGUGCCCAGAUGGGAUUAGCUAGUAGGUGGGGUAACGGCUCACCUAGGCGACGAUCCCUAGCUGGUCUGAGAGGAUGACCAGCCACACUGGAACUGAGACACGGUCCAGACUCCUACGGGAGGCAGCAGUGGGGAAUAUUGCACAAUGGGCGCAAGCCUGAUGCAGCCAUGCCGCGUGUGUGAAGAAGGCCUUCGGGUUGUAAAGCACUUUCAGCGGGGAGGAAGGCGGUGAGGUUAAUAACCUCACCGAUUGACGUUACCCGCAGAAGAAGCACCGGCUAACUCCGUGCCAGCAGCCGCGGUAAUACGGAGGGUGCAAGCGUUAAUCGGAAUUACUGGGCGUAAAGCGCACGCAGGCGGUCUGUCAAGUCGGAUGUGAAAUCCCCGGGCUCAACCUGGGAACUGCAUUCGAAACUGGCAGGCUAGAGUCUUGUAGAGGGGGGUAGAAUUCCAGGUGUAGCGGUGAAAUGCGUAGAGAUCUGGAGGAAUACCGGUGGCGAAGGCGGCCCCCUGGACAAAGACUGACGCUCAGGUGCGAAAGCGUGGGGAGCAAACAGGAUUAGAUACCCUGGUAGUCCACGCCGUAAACGAUGUCGAUUUGGAGGUUGUGCCCUUGAGGCGUGGCUUCCGGAGCUAACGCGUUAAAUCGACCGCCUGGGGAGUACGGCCGCAAGGUUAAAACUCAAAUGAAUUGACGGGGGCCCGCACAAGCGGUGGAGCAUGUGGUUUAAUUCGAUGCAACGCGAAGAACCUUACCUGGUCUUGACAUCCACAGAACUUAGCAGAGAUGCUUUGGUGCCUUCGGGAACUGUGAGACAGGUGCUGCAUGGCUGUCGUCAGCUCGUGUUGUGAAAUGUUGGGUUAAGUCCCGCAACGAGCGCAACCCUUAUCCUUUGUUGCCAGCGGUCCGGCCGGGAACUCAAAGGAGACUGCCAGUGAUAAACUGGAGGAAGGUGGGGAUGACGUCAAGUCAUCAUGGCCCUUACGACCAGGGCUACACACGUGCUACAAUGGCAUAUACAAAGAGAAGCGACCUCGCGAGAGCAAGCGGACCUCAUAAAGUAUGUCGUAGUCCGGAUUGGAGUCUGCAACUCGACUCCAUGAAGUCGGAAUCGCUAGUAAUCGUAGAUCAGAAUGCUACGGUGAAUACGUUCCCGGGCCUUGUACACACCGCCCGUCACACCAUGGGAGUGGGUUGCAAAAGAAGUAGGUAGCUUAACCUUCGGGAGGGCGCUUACCACUUUGUGAUUCAUGACUGGGGUGAAGUCGUAACAAGGUAACCGUAGGGGAACCUGCGGUUGGAUCACCU
rnacentral:rRNA from 1 species